rnacentral:rRNA from 1 species
CAGUAGCCGCGGUAAUACGAAGGGGGCUAGCGUUGCUCGGAAUCACUGGGCGUAAAGGGUGCGUAGGCGGGUCUUUAAGUCAGGGGUGAAAUCCUGGAGCUCAACUCCAGAACUGCCUUUGAUACUGAAGAUCUUGAGUUCGGGAGAGGUGAGUGGAACUGCGAGUGUAGAGGUGAAAUUCGUAGAUAUCCGCAAGAACACCAGUGGCGAAGGCGGCUCACUGGCCCGAUACUGACGCUGAGGCACGAAAGCGUGGGGAGCAAACAGGAUUAGAUACCCCGGUAGUCCCUGUCUCUUAUAC